UACGUAGGGUCCGAGCGUUGUCCGGAAUUACUGGGCGUAAAGAGCUCGUAGGUGGUUUGUCGCGUUGUUCGUGAAAACUCGGGGCUCAACUCCGAGCUUGCAGUCGAUACGGGGCAGGCUAGAGUUCGGCAGGGGGAGACUGGAAAUUCCUGGUGUAGCGGUGAAAUGCGCAGAUAUCAGGAGGAACACCGAUGGCGAAGGCAGAUCUCUGGG
rnacentral:rRNA from 1 species